rnacentral:rRNA from 1 species
AGUAACACGUAGCCAUCCUGCCCUCGAGACGAGAACAAUCUCGGGAAACUGAGGCUAAUGCUCGAUAGAUCAAGAUUCCUGGAAUGGGUUUUGGUCUAAAUGGGGUAACAGCAUCUUGUUAUUUCCGCUCGAGGAUGGGACUGCGACCGAUCAGGCUGUUGGUGGGGUAAAGGCCCACCAAACCAGUAACCGGUACGGGCAUUGAGAGAUGGAGCCCGGAGAUGGACACUGAGACAAGGGUCCAGGUCCUACGGGGCGCAGCAGGCGCGAAACCUUCGCAAUGCGCGAAAGCGCGACGAGGUUAUUCCGAGUGAUUUCCGCUGAGGAAGUCUUUUCUCAGAUCUAAAAAGUCUGGGGAAUAAGGGGAGGGCAAGUCUGGUGUCAGCCGCCGCGGUAAUACCAGCUCCUCGAGUGGUCAGGGCGUUUAUUGGGCCUAAAGCAUCCGUAGCCGGCUCAGUAGGUCUCCUGUUAAAUCCAACGGCUCAACCGUUGGUCUGCAGGAGAUACCGCUGGGCUAGGAGGCGGGAGAGGCGGACGGUACUCCGAGGGUAGGGGUAAAAUCCUUUGAUCCCCGGGAGA